rnacentral:lncRNA from 1 species
CUCACUUUGAGAAAGCCCUCUUUCUUGGGAUAGCAUCAUGCAAUGACACAGCUUUUGCAAGCUUCCAAAACUUCGUGAAGCAAUCUCUGAGAAGAUGAUGAACAGGACACAGAAAAACCCGAACAAGCUUCUACCUUAUUUCUUGGAGUACUAAAUCUACUAUGUUUUUAGCUUCCAAAAUUCAAGAAGAUGCAUCCUGUGCCAUAACAAGAGAACCUAUCUAAAUAUCAAAGCCCAGUUUUGCUGAAUUCAAAAUAUACACAUUAUGUUGUCUGAAAAGACUGAAAGACACUGAGGUCUCCAGGCCUGAAAGAGACCCUAAUAAUGGGUCAAGGAGUCCAGCUUCUGUGAUAUUAUGCAACACCAUUUUUUGUUUCAGGGAAGGACCUUUCAUGAAAAAUAGGUAACUAUAUAGCUGUGAUUCCAGACAUCCUCAGUCAAUGUUGGGAUAACAAUAGAGAAG